UUACUUUAAAUUUCACAUAGCAACAAAGUAUAACUCUGUCAAAUUGAUGGUGUUAUACUUUGUUGCUCUAUGGAAUUUAAAGUGACCU